AAUUCUCAACCUUUCUAGUUUUCUGACUAGUCAGGCUUGGAUCAUGGAAGUUGCUGGUUCAAUUUCAAUCAGCUCUUCUUAAAUAUAUUAGCAAAGACCUUUGCUGACCAUCAUUGGUAUGAUAAUUAUCUAUAUCAUUGAUAACCAGUUCCCUUUCAUCGGGAGAUCUUGCUUCUAAUAGUCUUUUAGACAAUAUGACAA
rnacentral:misc_RNA from 1 species